AAAAAAUUGGAUCAUGUGAAUCCACCUGGCUGUUCUAGAGGAAAAACAGGUUGAAAUAUAAUCCUCAGACCAGGCAUGGCGGCUCACACCUGUAAUCCCAGCACUUUGGGAGACCGAGGCAGGAGGAUUGCUUGAAGCCAAAAGAGUUCAAGACCAGCCUGGGCAACAUAGCAAGACCCACCUCUAUUAAAAAAAAAAAUUAAAAUAUUAGCCAGGUGCGGUGGCCUGUGCCUGUAGUCUCAGCUUCUUGGGAGGCUGAGGAGGGAGAAUCACUUAAGCCCAGGAGUUCAAGGCUGCAGUUGAGGUAUGAUCCCACCACUGCACUCCAGCCUGGGCAACAGAGUGAGACACUUGUCUCAAAAAAGUAAGAGAAAUUGAAUCUCCAAAGUUGGAAGUGAGGCCUGGUGGGAGGUGUUUGGGUCAUGGGGGUGGAUCCCUCAUGAACGGCUAGGCUCCUUCUUCCUGGUAAUGAGUGAGUCCUCGCUCUGAAUUCAUGCAAGCUCUGGUUGUUUAAAGAGCCUGGCACCUCCUCCUUCUCUCUCUUGCUCCCUCUUGCUAUGUGACAUGCCUGCUCCCACUUUACCUUCCUCCAUGAGUAAAAGCUCCCUGAGGCCUCACCAGAAGCCGAGCAGAUGCUAGCACCAUGCUACUUGUACAUCCUGCAGAAUCGGAGCCAAUUAAACCUCUUUUUCUUUAUAAAUCACUCGGUUUCAGAUACUUCUUUAUAGCAAUGCAAAACUAGCAGAGUCCAAUAGCUUAAUCCACCAAAAGAAAAUUUAACAGAGAAGCAAACACCACCAAAUAUAAAUCACUUGAGAGACUUUAUACUUUGUUUUUUUUGUUUGUUUUUUUGGUUUUUUGAGAUGGAGUCUUGCUCUGUCGCCCAGGCUGGAGUGCAAUGGCCCGAUCUCGGUACACUGCAACCUCUAUCUCCUGGGUUCAAGCUAUUCUCCUGCCGCAGCCUCCUGAAUAGCUGGAUUACAGGCACCCGCCACCACGACCAGCUAAUUUUUGUAUUUUUAGUAGAGACAGGGUUUCGCCACUUUGGUCAGGCUGGUCUCAAACUCUGACCUCAGGUGAUCCACCCGCCUUGGCCUCCCAAAGUGCUGGGAUUACAGGCGUGAGCCACAG
rnacentral:lncRNA from 10 species